rnacentral:rRNA from 1 species
CUACGGGGUGCUGCAGUGAGGAAUCUUGCGCAAUGGGGGAAACCCUGACGCAGCCACGCCGCGUGGGUGAUGAAGGCCUUCGGGUCGUAAAGCCCUGUCAGGUGGGAAGAACCACAACAUAGUUAAUAGCUGUGUUGUCUGACGGUACCACCAAAGGAAGCACCGGCUAACUCCGUGCCAGCAGCCGCGGUAAUACGGAGGGUGCAAGCGUUGUUCGGAAUUACUGGGCGUAAAGCGUGUGUAGGCGGCCAUAUAAGUUGGAUGUGAAAUCCCUCGGCUCAACCGAGGAACUGCAUCCAAUACUGUUUGGCUUGAGUCUCGGAGAGGGUUGUGGAAUUCCCGGUGUAGAGGUGAAAUUCGUAGAUAUCGGGAGGAACACCAGUGGCGAAGGCGACAACCUGGACGAAGACUGACGCUGAGACACGAAAGUGUGGGGAGCAAACAGGAUUAGAUACCCGAGUAGUC